rnacentral:rRNA from 1 species
UACGUAGGGUGCAAGCGUUGUCCGGAAUUAUUGGGCGUAAAGAGUUCGUAGGCGGUUUGUCGCGUCCGUUGUGAAAACUUGGAGCUUAACCCCAAGCCUGCUUCCGAUACGGGCGGACUAGAGGUAGGCAGGGGAGAACGGAAUUCCUGGUGUAGCGGUGAAAUGCGUAGAUAUCUGGAGGAAUACCGGUGGCGAAGGCGGCAUCCUGGACCGACAUUGACGCUGAGGAGCGAAAGCUAGGGGAGCAAACGGG